rnacentral:rRNA from 1 species
UACAGAGGUCCCAAGCGUUGUUCGGAUUCACUGGGCGUAAAGGGUGCGUAGGUGGUCGGGUAAGUCUGAUGUGAAAUCUCCGAGCUUAACUCGGAAAUGGCAUUGGAUACUAUUCGGCUGGAGGUUUGGAGGGGGGACUGGAAUUCUCGGUGUAGCAGUGAAAUGCGUAGAUAUCGGGAGGAACACCUGUGGCGAAGGCGGCCAUCUGGACGGCAAUUGACGCUGAGACGCGAAAGCGUGGGUAGCAAACAGG